rnacentral:rRNA from 1 species
GACGAACGCUGGCAGCGUGCCUAAUACAUGCAAGUCGAGCGGACCACUUCGGUGGUCAGCGGCGGACGGGUGAGUAACACGUGGGCAACCUGCCUGUAAGACUGGGAUAACACCGGGAAACCGGUGCUAAUACCGGAUAAUCCUUUCCUUCACAUGAGGGAAAGCUGAAAGGCGGUUUCGGCUGUCACUUACAGAUGGGCCCGCGGCGCAUUAGCUAGUUGGUGAGGUAACGGCUCACCAAGGCAACGAUACGUAGUCGACCUGAGAGGGUGAUCGGCCACACUGGGACUGAGACACGGCCCAGACUCCUACGGGAGGCAGCAGUAGGGAAUCUUCCGCAAUGGACGAAAGUCUGACGGAGCAACGCCGCGUGAGCGAUGAAGGCCUUCGGGUCGUAAAGCUCUGUUGUCAGGGAAGAACAAGUACCGGAGUAACUGCCGGUACCUUGACGGUACCUGACCAGAAAGCCACGGCUAACUACGUGCCAGCAGCCGCCGUAAUAC